GACGAACGCUGGCGGCGUGCCUAAUACAUGCAAGUCGAACGCAGGGGGAACGGGUGAGUAACACGUGGGUAACCUCCCAUCAGAGGGGAGCACACUUGGAAACAGGUGCUAUACCUAUACGUAAAGAUGGACACGCGGUGCAUUAGCUAGUUGGUGAGGUAACGGCUCACAAAGGCCACGAUGCAUAGCCGAGCUGAGAGGGUGAUCGGCAAGACUGGGACUGGGACAUGGACCAGACUCCUACGGGAGGCAGGAGUAUGGAAUUGUCGGCAAUGGAGGAAAGUCUGACCGAGCCAAGCGGCGUGAGCGAAGAAGGUUUUCGGAUGGUAAAACUCUGUUGUGAGAGAAGCGGUAACUAACCCGAAAGGGACGGCGAACUACGUGCCAGCAGCCGCGGUAAUAC
rnacentral:rRNA from 1 species